CAGCAGUCGCCGCGGGAAUACGUAGGGUGCAAGCGUUAAUCGGAAUUACUGGGCGUAAAGCGUGCGUAGGCGGCUUUUUAAGUCGGAUGUGAAAUCCCUGAGCUUAACUUAGGAAUUGCAUUCGAUACUGGGAAGCUAGAGUAUGGGAGAGGAUGGUAGAAUUCCAGGUGUAGCGGUGAAAUGCGUAGAGAUCUGGAGGAAUACCGAUGGCGAAGGCAGCCAUCUGGCCUAAUACUGACGCUGAGGUACGAAAGCAUGGGGAGCAAACAGGAUUAGAUACCCCCGUAGUCCCUGUCUCUUAUAC
rnacentral:rRNA from 1 species